UCUGGCUUAUUGAUUGGUCUCCUACCACUUUUUGGAUAUGAGAUCAUUCGAUGAGCCCAGA
rnacentral:pre_miRNA from 1 species